rnacentral:ncRNA from 1 species
CAGGUUCCGGAGCAAUCCGGAUUAAAAGGGAAACAGGUGUGAAUCCUGUACAGUCCCGCUGCUGUAACUCCUGAAAAGAGACCGGCGCACAAAGUCACUGGGCGUAGAUGCUUGGGAAGGCGCGCCGGUCGGGAGAAGUCAGAAGACCUGCCUGCCGU